GGGGGAUUUCUUUUUUUUUGUUGUAAUUUUUGCUGAAUUUGAGGGGGUGGUAGUGGCGCUAGUCAGUGGGGGGAGAUGCUGGACCUUGGGUUUUGGACAGUGGUUGCGCAUGUAUUGCCAAUGUUCCUGGGAAGACAUUGAGAAACACGUAACAACAAAAACAGUUCUUAGUAACUGGGAGGACGAGAUAGGAAAUAAUCUGAGCGAGCAUUGUCCAGCGACCUGUCGACGACGGAGGCGGCUCCCGCCGCUCCAGGUGGGAAAAACCAAAAACAGAACCAGCCACCGCAACGAGCCCACCUUGUGACGUUGCACAUAAACGCGGCCCAGACCAGACGGCCUUUGAAGGAAAGUGAGGCUCAGCUAUUUCAGCCUUAUCCAAUGUGAUCCGGCUCUUUAUCUCUCACAGGGAAAAUGGAGUCUCGCACCGACCGAAAAAGAAAAACAAAAUUCGUGCGUACAGACGUUCUCAUUUUUUUUUUUUUUGAAGCUUCUUGUCCCCCAUAUUUCAGACGAGCGUCUGGACUGAAAUGAAAAUAAGAACGAAAAUGUCUUCAUAUAAAAGCGAGAGAUCGUGACUGCUGGAUUGUGAUGGGCCACUGCAUAACACGAGUAAAAGAAAUACAGACAUUUUGCUAAUA
rnacentral:lncRNA from 1 species